rnacentral:rRNA from 1 species
AACGAACGCUGGCGGCAUGCCUAACACAUGCAAGUCGAACGAUGCUUUCGGGCAUAGUGGCGCACGGGUGCGUAACGCGUGGGAAUCUGCCCUGGGGUUCGGGAUAACAGCGGGAAACUGCUGCUAAUACCGGAUGAUAUCGCGAGAUCAAAGAUUUAUCGCCCUGGGAUGAGCCCGCGUCGGAUUAGGUAGUUGGUGGGGUAAGAGCCUACCAAGCCGACGAUCCGUAGCUGGUCUGAGAGGAUGAUCAGCCACACUGGGACUGAGACACGGCCCAGACUCCUACGGGAGGCAGCAGUGGGGAAUAUUGGACAAUGGGCGCAAGCCUGAUCCAGCAAUGCCGCGUGAGUGAUGAAGGCCUUAGGGUUGUAAAGCCCUUUUACCCGGGAUGAUAAUGACAGUACCGGGAGAAUAAGCCCCGGCUAACUCCGUG